AGAUUGAACGCUGGCGGCAUGCUUUACACAUGCAAGUCGAACGGCAGCACGGGGGGUAACUCCUGGUGGCGAGUGGCGAACGGGUGAGUAAUGUAUCGGAACGUAACGAGUAAUGGGGGAUAACGCAGCGAAAGUUGUGCUAAUACCGCAUACGCCCUGAGGGGGAAAGCGGGGGAUCGAAAGACCUCGCGUUAUUUGGGCGGCCGAUAUCUGAUUAGCUAGUUGGUGGGGUAAAGGCCUACCAAGGCUACGAUCAGUAGCUGGUCUGAGAGGAUGAUCAGCCACACUGGGACUGAGACACGGCCCAGACUCCUACGGGAGGCAGCAGUGGGGAAUAUUGGACAAUGGGCGCAAGCCUGAUCCAGCCAUGCCGCGUGGGUGAUGAAGGCCCUAGGGUUGUAAAGCCCUUUCGGCGGGGAAGAUAAUGACGGUACCCGCAGAAGAAGCCCCGGCUAACUUCGUGCCAGCAGCCGCGU
rnacentral:rRNA from 1 species